rnacentral:rRNA from 1 species
AUGAUGUUUUCGAUGUUGGAGGUUUUGCCGGUUCUUCUCGGUUGGAGGUUUCACUCCUCUAUUUGUUGGCAUACCUCCCCUCCCAUGCUACUCGUCGUCUUGUUUCCAACAAGCUUGAGUUUGCUCAAUUCGGAGCUCAUAUGCAGAAGUUAUGGCAGUUCUGGUUUUCUUGAGAGUGGUUUUUGUCUGGUCCUAGCGGUAGUACCGCUUGGAGCUCUCAGCCGUUGUACCGCUGCUUCCGGGCGGUGGUACCGCCAACUUGCUCAGCAAAGUCUUGGGCGGUUGUUCCGGCCAGGCACCGCCCAAGUACCGGUCAGGCCUCUGUUUUGA